rnacentral:ncRNA from 1 species
UUCCAUGUAUUAUACUAGAAUAAUAAAAUUUGAUUUUAGUUUUUUCUUAGCUAUAUGAAUAAUAUAAUUAUACUUAGAUUUCUUAAUAAAUGAAAUUAAUUUUUUUUUAUUUUAUUUGUAGUAUUUAAUUUUAAAUAAUUUAUUGAAGUAAGAUUUAGUAAUUUAUGAUUAGGUUGGUCAAAAUUGUGCCAGCUACCGCGGUUAGACAAUAAACUUAAGUUAAGUUGCUAGAUUUUGGAAAUAUAGAUUUUUUAAAAAUUUAUUUUAUUUAAUUGAAAAGGUGAAAUUUUUAUAAUUUAAGAUGAUGAAUUUAUUUUAUUUUUUUGUAGCUUUAAUUUUAAACCAGGAUUAGAUACCCUGUUAUUUUAAGGUGUAAAAUGAAAUUAGGGUAGUAGUUGUUGUUCAUGAAACCUAAAAAAUUUGGCGGUGCUUUAAGCUGUUCAGAGGAAUCUGCUCUGUAAUCGAUAGUCCUCGUUUAAUUUAACUUUAUUUUGUUAAUUCAGUUUGUAUAUCGCCGUCUUAGAUAACCUUUUUAGAGAGAAAGUUAUCAUGAAAAAUUAAUUUUUUGAUGUCAGGUCAAGGUGCAGCUUAUAAUAAAGGUUGAAGUGGAUUACAAUUAAUUUAUUAAUAUGGAUGUUAUUUUGAAAUAAAUAAUUAAAAGUGGAUUUGAAAGUAAUUUUUAAUUAGAUAUGUAAAGUUGGAUGUGGCUCUAAAGCAUGUACACAUCGCCCGUCGCUCUCGCUUUUUAGGUGAGAUAAGUCGUAACAUAGUAGAUGUAUUGGAAAAUGUAUCUAGAAAGG